CAGUCGCCACGGUAAUACGAAGGGUGCAAGCGUUACUCGGAAUUACUGGGCGUAAAGCGUGCGUAGGUGGUGGUUUAAGUCCGUUGUGAAAGCCCUGGGCUCAACCUGGGAAUUGCAGUGGAUACUGGGUCACUAGAGUGUGGUAGAGGAUAGUGGAAUUUCCGGUGUAGCAGUGAAAUGCGUAGAGAUCGGAAGGAACAUCUGUGGCGAAGGCGACUAUCUGGGCCAACACUGACACUGAGGCACGAAAGCGUGGGGAGCAAACAGGAUUAGAGACCCGUGUAGUCCCUGUCUCUUAUAC
rnacentral:rRNA from 1 species